CCUACGGGUGGCAGCAGUGGGGAAUAUUGGACAAUGGGCGAAAGCCUGAUCCAGCCAUGCCGCGUGUGUGAAGAAGGCCUUCGGGUUGUAAAGCACUUUCAGUGGGGAAGAAAGCCUUGGGGCUAAUACCCUCGAGGAAGGACAUCACCCACAGAAGAAGCACCGGCUAACUCCGUGCCAGCAGCCGCGGUAAUACGGAGGGUGCGAGCGUUAAUCGGAAUUACUGGGCGUAAAGCGCGCGUAGGCGGUCUGAUAAGCCGGUUGUGAAAGCCCCGGGCUCAACCUGGGAACGGCAUCCGGAACUGUCAGGCUAGAGUGCAGGAGAGGAAGGUAGAAUUCCCGGUGUAGCGGGGAAAUGCGUAGAGAUCGGGAGGAAUACCAGUGGCGAAGGCGGCCUUCUGGACUGACACUGACGCUGAGGUGCGAAAGCGUGGGUAGCAAACAGGAUUAGAUACCCUUGUAGUC
rnacentral:rRNA from 1 species